CAACCCUCAAGCCCAGCUUGGUGUUGGGAGCUGCAGUCCUGCUGCACUCCCCAAAUACAUUGGCGGUCACGUCGAGCUUCCAUAGCGUAGUAAUUUACACAUCGUUACUGGUAAUCGUCGCGGCCACGCCGUUAAACCCCAACUUCUGAAUG
rnacentral:misc_RNA from 1 species